AGAAUUUUUCUCAAUGGGGGAAACCCUGAAGGAGCGACGCCGCGUGGAGGAUGAAGGUCUUCGGAUUGUAAACGCCUGUCAUUGGUGAACAAGGUCUACCGGGUAACUACCGGUGGGAGUGAUAGUAGCCGACGAGGAAGAGACGGCUAACACUGUGCCAGCAGCCGCGGUAAUACAGAGGUCUCAAGCGUUGUUCGGAUUCCUUGGGCGUAAAGGGUGCGUAGGCGGCGAGGCAAGUCUGGUGUGAAAUCCCGGGGCUCAACCCCGGAACUGCACUGGAUACUGCUUUGCUAGAGUACUGGAGAGGGAACUGGAAUUUACGGUGUAGCAGUGAAAUGCGUAGAUAUCGUAAGGAAGACCAGCGGCGAAGGCGAGUUCCUGGACAGUUACUGACGCUGAGGCACGAAGGCCAGGGGAGCAAAC
rnacentral:rRNA from 1 species